rnacentral:rRNA from 1 species
GACGUAGGGUGCAAGCGUUGUCCGGAUUUAUUGGGCGUAAAGAGCUCGUAGGCGGCUUGUUGCGUCGACUGUGAAAACCCGCGGCUUAACCGCGGGCUUGCAGUGGGUACGGGCAGACUAGAGUGCGGUAGGGGAGACUGGAAUUCCUGGUGUAGCGGUGAAAUGCGCAGAUAUCAGGAGGAACACCGGUGGCGAAGGCGGGUCUCUGGGCCGUAACUGACGCUGAGGAGCGAAAGCAUGGGGAGCGAACAGG